CCUACGGGAGGCAGCAGUAGGGAAUCUUCCACAAUGGGCGAAAGCCUGAUGGAGCAACGCCGCGUGGGUGAAGAAGGUCUUCGGAUCGUAAAACCCUGUUGUUAGAGAAGAAAGUGCGUGAGAGUAACUGUUCACGUUUCGACGGUAUCUAACCAGAAAGCCACAGCUAACUACGUGCCAGCACCCGCGGUAAUACGUAGGUGGCAAGCGUUAUCCGGAUUUAUUGGGCGUAAAGGGAACGCAGGCGGUCUUUUACGUCUGAUGUGAAAGCUUUCGGCUUAACCGGAGUAGUGCAUUGGAAACUGGGAGACUUGAGUGCAGAAGAGGAGAGUGGAACUCCAUGUGUAGCGGUGAAAUGCGUAGAUAUAUGGAAGAACACCAGUGGCGAAAGCGGCUCUCUGGUCUGUAACUGACGCUGAGGUUCGAAAGCGUGGGUAGCAAACAGGAUUAGAUACCCGGGUAGUC
rnacentral:rRNA from 1 species